UCCUGUAAGAACAUAAACUGUUGCUGUGUUUUAUUUGAAAUAUAAAUUAAACAAUGAAUCAUAUUGUUGCUGAUUAAUUUUGUGUAGCUCAUCUUAUAGAUUAAUUGACUUAUUACUUCAGCUCUAGGUUCGAUAUGAUAUGACAUGUGGACCCAUCCCGAUUGCAUCAGACAAAGGCAGCAAUAGGACCCUUUUACUUAUUUUACGAGGAGCAUAGAGGAAAAUUUCACUUUAAGUACCAGUUUGCACGGACUACAUUAAAACAGAGAUGGAUCUCAACUGCAGCUAGAUGGGCAAAUGACUCCCUCCUGUGAUGGAAUCAAGUGGAUUCAGCAUUCAAGAUUCAGAUUUGAAGUUCAAGAUCCACAUUUACAGUUUCACACUGCAUGUUUGAUACCAACGUUCUGUUCCAUUUUCCUUUUGAAUUAAAGCUUCCUUUUCUCUUCUC